rnacentral:rRNA from 1 species
UACGGGGGGGGCAAGCGUUGUUCGGAAUUACUGGGCGUAAAGGGCGCGUAGGCGGCCAGCACAAGUCAGUUGUGAAAUCUCCGAGCUUAACUCGGAAAGGUCAACUGAUACUGUGCGGCUAGAGUGCGGAAGGGGCAACUGGAAUUCUUGGUGUAGCGGUGAAAUGCGUAGAUAUCAAGAGGAACACCUGCGGCGAAGGCGGGUUGCUGGGCCGACACUGACGCUGAGGCGCGAAAGCUAGGGGAGCGAACGGG